AGGACGAACGCUGGCGGCGUGCUUAACACAUGCAAGUCGAGCGGAAAGGCCCUUCGGGGUACUCGAGCGGCGAACGGGUGAGUAACACGUGAGUAAUCUGCCCCUAGCUCUGGGAUAGCUCCGGGAAACCGGGAUUAAUACCGGAUACGACCACCUUAGACAUCUUUUGUGGUGGAAAGAAUUUCGGCUAGGGAUGAGCUCGCGGCCUAUCAGCUUGUUGGUGGGGUAACGGCCUACCAAGGCGACGACGGGUAGCCGGCCUGAGAGGGCGACCGGCCACACUGGGACUGAGACACGGCCCAGACUCCUACGGGAGGCAGCAGUGGGGAAUAUUGCGCAAUGGGCGAAAGCCUGACGCAGCGACGCCGCGUGGGGGAUGAAGGCCUUCGGGUUGUAAACCCCUUUCAGCAGGGACGAAGCGAAAGUGACGGUACUGCAGAAGAGCGCCGGCUAACUACGCGCCAGCAGCCGC
rnacentral:rRNA from 1 species